rnacentral:rRNA from 1 species
CACGUAGGGUGCGAGCGUUGUCCGGAAUUAUUGGGCGUAAAGAGCUCGUAGGCGGUGUGUCGCGUCGGCCGUGAAAACCUGCAGCUUAACUGUGGGCUUGCGGUCGAUACGGGCAUCACUGGAGUUCGGCAGGGGAGACUGGAAUUCCUGGUGUAGCGGUGAAAUGCGCAGAUAUCAGGAGGAACACCGGUGGCGAAGGCGGGUCUCUGGGCAUGAUCUGACGCUGAGGAGCGAAAGCGUGGGGAGCAAACAGG